rnacentral:tRNA from 1 species
UAGAAUGUGGUGUAAUGGUAGCACGAAGAAUUUUGAUUUCUUAGGUUUAGGUUCAAAUCCUAAGGUUCUAG